rnacentral:tRNA from 1 species
GCAGUGUUGGCUCACUGUAGAGUUCUCGCCUUCCACGCGGGAGACCAGGGUUCGAUUCCCAGCCAGUGCA